rnacentral:rRNA from 1 species
UACGUAGGUGGCAAGCGUUAUCCGGAUUUACUGGGUGUAGAGGGCGUGUAGGCGGGAGAGCAAGUCAGACGUGAAAUUCCAGGGCUCAACCCUGGAACUGCGUUUGAAACUGUUCUUCUUGAGUGAUGGAGAGGCAGGCGGAAUUCCGUGUGUAGCGGUGAAAUGCGUAGAUAUACGGAGGAACACCAGUGGCGAAGGCGGCCUGCUGGACAUUAACUGACGCUGAGGCGCGAAAGCGUGGGGAGCAAACAGG